rnacentral:siRNA from 1 species
GGCGGUGGUUGUAGUGGUGG